UUUAGCUGAAUAUAUUAAGGCUUGUGAU
rnacentral:piRNA from 1 species